CCUUCUCUUCCUUUUUUUUUUUUUUCACGCUGCACUCCUCUUUCUUUCUUCUUCCUUAGUUCGUGAGCUUCAAUGGAGAAAGGGCAAGAGAGAACUUGAUGAUUUGUCACCAUUUCAUCCAGACUCCAACAUAGGAAAGCGCCUGCACAUGAAAGGAAGGAGAAAAUGGAUUGAUUCCAUAGUUCUAAGCUUAGGGAAGUCAUCAAUAGUUAUUGGUUAGGCUAUCUAAGAGUGUAAUCAGAUGAAGUAGGUGGACGAACAACUUGUAGACAACCAAGUGUACGGGUUAUUAAAUAGCAAGUUAGCAGCAGGAAAGAGACGACAGGUAUCGCAGCAGUUGACGAUCGUUCUCGGGGCAAGAGGCCCGUGGUUGAUGAGUAGAUCUGAGCAUAGAUGUUGCCUGCUUAUUUUGGGAGUCUGUUGUAUAUAUUGUGACACUGUGAUGUAUUAUGUUUAUGUAGGUUGAUGUAGGAUGUUGUAGUUAUGGCACAGAGUCACCUUUUUGAUAUGAUAUAUAUAGAGUUAUGGAUCAUGUAUGUAUACUACUGUAUAUGAUAUGGAAUUGUUGUAUAUUGUGGGUUGUAAGAGCCCCAAGGCAUUGCUGGUCCUUGUGUGUGCCACCCAUUGGAUUAUUAGGUAUAUUUGUGGUAUUAGCAAGCUUAUGUAAAUUUGGGGAUUUAAGGAAAAACAAAGGAAACU